rnacentral:rRNA from 1 species
AAGCAAUAAGUAAUCCACCUGGGGAGUACGGCCGCAAGGUUGAAACUCAAAGGAAUUGACGGGGGCCCGCACAAGCGGAGGAACAUGUGGUUUAAUUCGAUGAUACGCGAGGAACCUUACCUGGGCUUAAAUGUAGAGUGCAUGAGGUGGAAACACUUCUUUCCUUCGGGACUCUUUGCAAGGUGCUGCAUGGUUGUCGUCAGCUCGUGCCGUGAGGUGUCGGGUUAAGUCCCAUAACGAGCGCAACCCUUAUCUUCAGUUGCUACCAUUUAGUUGAGCACUCUGACGAAACCGCCUCGGAUAACGGGGAGGAAGGUGGGGAUGACGUCAAGUCCUCAUGGCCUUUAUGUCCAGGGCUACACACGUGCUACAAUGGCCGGUACAAACCGCUGCAAACCCGCGAGGGGGAGCUAAUCGGAAAAAGCCGGCCUCA